rnacentral:rRNA from 1 species
GACGAACGCUGGCGGCGUGCUUAACACAUGCAAGUCGAACGAUGAAGCUGGAGCUUGCUCCGGUGGAUUAGUGGCGAACGGGUGAGUAACACGUGAGCAAUCUGCCCUUGAGUCUGGGAUAACUGCGGGAAACUGUAGCUAAUACCGGAUACUUUCACUGGAAGGCAUCUUCUGGUGAAGAAAGAAUUUCGGUCAAGGAUGAGCUCGCGGCCUAUCAGCUUGUUGGUGAGGUAACGGCUCACCAAGGCGACGACGGGUAGCCGGCCGGAGAGGGUGACCGGCCACACUGGGACUGAGACACGGCCCAGACUCCUACGGGAGGCAGCAGUGGGGAAUAUUGCACAAUGGGCGCAAGCCUGAUGCAGCAACGCCGCGUGAGGGAUGAAGGCCUUCGGGUUGUAAACCUCUUUUAGCAGGGAAGAAGCGAAAGUGACGGUACCUGCAGAAAAAGCACCGGCUAACUACGUGCCAGCCGCCGCGGUAA